GAUGAAGAACGCAGCGAAAUGCGAUAAGUAGUGUGAAUUGCAGAAUUCAGUGAAUCAUCGAAUCUUUGAACGCACAUUGCGCCCUUUGGUAUUCCAAAGGGCAUGCCUGUUCGAGCGUCUUUUGUACCCUCAAGCUUUGCUUGGUGUUGGGCGUCUUGUCUCUAGCUUUGCUGGAGACUCGCCUUAAAGUAAUUGGCAGCCGGCCUACUGGUUUCGGAGCGCAGCACAAGUCGCACUCUCUAUCAGCAAGGUCUAGCAUCCAUUAAGCCUUUUUUUCAACUUUUGACCUCGGAUCAGGUAGGGAUACCCGCUGAACUUAAGCAUAUCAAUAAGCGGAGGA
rnacentral:misc_RNA from 1 species